AUUGAACGCUAGCGGGAUGCUUUACACAUGCAAGUCGAACGAGUGGCGGACGGGUGAGUAAUAUAUCGGAACGUGCCCAGUAGCGGGGGCUAACUACUCGACAGAGUGGCUAAUACCGCAUACUAUUGUAGCGGCCGAUUACUGUUUGUCUAGUUGGUGGGGUAAAGGGUCACCAAGGCAACGAUCCGUAGCUGGUUGGAGCGGACGACCAGCCACACUGGGACUGAGCCACGGCCCAGAUUCCUGCGGGAGGCAUCAGUGGGGAAUUUUGGACAAUGGGGGAAACCCUUAUCCAGCCAUCCGGCGUGUAUGAGAAGGCCUGCGGGUUGUAAAGUACUUUUGGCAGAGAAGCGGUAUCUGCAGAAUAAGCACCGGCUAACUACGUGCCAGCAGCCGCGGUAAUUC
rnacentral:rRNA from 1 species